UUUCAGCUUAUCAUUUUAGGAUAGCAUUUUUGAUUAAUGGAUUAAAUUCUAGGUUUUCACUUUUAAAACUUGUGUUCUAACGUAUAUAUUUUCCUUCUCAGGAUGCCUUUUAUCACUGGUUUGCUUCUGCAUUAUACUUGAGUGCUGCAAUACUUCAAGCUUACUUUACAGAUACUGUUCAGAGCGAUACAUAUUUCUAUUUCAGGAUAUACAAUCUAAACAUUGCAGCAUGUGUAUUUGCCUUUAUUACAACAGUUUUGUAUUCAGUUCAUGCAACUUUUUCCCUUUUGAGAUGGAGGAGAUCUUCCUAAGUCUGAAUACUUUAAAAUAUACUGAAGAUCACAAAAAGAAAAAACAAUAUAUGGUCACACAUAGCACCUGCAUGCAUUCCCUUUGGGCGUCAGAUUAGAAAUAUGUUUUAUAAAAGUUUUGCUUUAUUACUUAAGAAAGAUUAAUCUAGAUGUCUAUCUUUUAAAAAUAUAAUAUUUUGGUUCAUUGUUAAUCUAAAUAAAAGACAAAUUUUA